UGAGCUUUGCUUCAAAUAUAGAUGGAAAGUUAUAAGCACAAAGAGUUUGGAGAGAAUGAUUCAAUCCACAGCAUUUGAGGCAGCAUACAAAGUCAAACUAUGAGUUAUGCUGCAGUACAGGUCUACGGAAGAAACAUUAGAGGAGACCUU